rnacentral:lncRNA from 1 species
UUGAUAUACCUAGUCUGUUAUGCCCUGGUAUGCUCUCAAAGUCCUCCAAUGACCUACCCUAGACUUCCUUGGCAUUAUGGCCCAAAUGAAUAUGGUAGCUGUACAUAGUCACACAGCACCAAGCUACUUGAGGAAGAACGGAGAAGAGAUCUGUUAGGAUUCUUACAAAGUGCUAAGUCACUGGAAUUGAUAGGCACUUCAGGAGAUUCACAAGUCCAGGAGAUUCACAAGUUCAGUGGAGGAGAUUCACAAGUCACAGCUCCCACAAUCCCACUCUUGAAAGAGGAGUCAACCUUUGAGUUCACACCUUUAAAAGAUCAUAUAUAAGGAGCUCCCACAAGCCAACUAGAGACUUUUGGGAGAUUGAGAAGCCAGGAUUCAGUUGGGCAGAAUGAAGGAUUCAGAGAGAGCUGGAGGCUGAAGCUGGCAGAGGCAAAGAACUAGCAACAAGAGUUCUUGGAACCAAGGACAGAGAUAGACCUCUAAGAAAACUAACUGGCUAUUUUGGAAGAGACAAUAAAGGACUGAACUUUUAAAACCUGGCUGCAUUUGAGAUGAUUAUUAUUUUGAACUGAAACUAAGGCUGCCUUCAGAAGCCCCAAGAAAUCUGCUUCAGAGAAUGAUUAUAUUUUAGAGAAGAGAACACCACAGAGAUCAAAGAGGGAUAGACUAAUAUGUUCAGAAAUUUUUAUAGAAGCACUUUUUUUGUACCAAAGAAAGAGAAACAAAGUUAGUGCCCAUCAAUUGGAAGAUAGCUCAACAAAUUAUGGUAUGUGAAUAUAGUGCAAGAUUAUUGUGCUGUGAGAAAAGAUAAAUAUGACAGAUUCAGAAAAAUCUUAGACUUGUAUGAACUAAUACAGAGUGAACAGAUACAGGAGAAUGAUUACUGACAAAUGACUGAAGGGAGAUCACAGCACUGUCAGAAGUAAUGAGGAAUAAUCAGAACAUACUAUUCACAAUAAUAUGCAAACAAAACUUAGAACAUAAAAGAAAUACAGGAAUAACUUCUAAAAUAUUAGGUACUCAAGUUAACAAAAGACUAAAUAGAAAUCUUUGAUAACUCAGUCUCAAAAGAGGAAACAGAUUUAGUGCCAAGGAAAUAACAGGGGAAAAUAGUUUGUUCCCAAUAGAUUCACAAGAACAAUCUAUCAAUCUCUGGGGAAAAAUAUGGAUACUAUUAUAUACAUAUAUAUGGGACAAUUAAGUAAAAAUAUCCAAUUGGUGAUAUGGGACUAGAAUCUGUGAAGAAGACUGUAUCUGGGGAACCUCCUGAUGUUCCUCAAGUUUACUAGGCAAUGGACAAACCACACCCUCCUUCCUUCCUUAAUGCCACCUGUAAGGUCCAGGCUAGCUUUCUGGAGGAUCUCUGGACAGGCCUUGGUUUUUAGGAAGAGGAGUGGGGAAGGCAGGAGAGCCACCAUGAGGCUGGUUGAAGAGAGAGUCCAGAGUCUGCAAUCUGGAGUCUCGAGGUCUUCUUUGUAUCUGUGACAGUGAGUCUUCUUCUAUAUCUGUGUCUGAGAGACUCUUGUGUAUCUGUCUGACUUUCUCUUAAAUAUCUCAGUCUGAUUAUAUCACUACAACAACUGAGCAUGUGCCAACUGCCCAUUACAUCACCAUCAGAUUAAGGAUAUGUUUAAAGAACCAUUAUCUCACACUGAGUAGGUGCUUAACUAUAAGCACCCUGCUAUCCUGGAUUCAAGUAUAUCUUUUCUGAGUCCCCAGCCCUCUAUACAGCCAUCAGUUCUCUUAUGUGACACUGGUAUCUCAGGUUUUUCCAGCCAUUUUGAAUCCGAAGCGUGUGAGUCUGUGGCCAGAAAGACCCCCAAAUCUUUGAAUACUCCAGAAAUCCUGGAAUACAGGGGGGAAACUUGCACUUAAUUAUAUAUAAGUGAAACAGAAAAACAGAAUCAAAGACAACCCCAAAGUAGCUAACAAUGGAGAGAAAAUAAGUGGUAAAAUCAAAGACAGAUUAACAAAGUAAAAAGGAAGUAGGUUUUGGGGAGGACAGAUAGUGAGCUAAGCUUUGGACAAUGAUUAAUGUUACAGGAAUAUGAGGGAUGAAUUGGGCAAGGGAGCAAAAGCAAGAAAAUGUAUUGGGAGAUUUUUAAAAUGAUAAGGUAUUCAAUUCGGGAGUGUCUUGUUAUGGGUAGAAAUGGUGAUAAAAAGGAGGGGAUAGAUGUAAGCUUUGUGCUAGAGAUAGAUCUGAUAAACUUAUAACAAAGCAGGAUCUCCUUUAUACCUUCACCAAUGGGUGGUGCUCUAGAUUUCUUUUGAGUCUUUCAGAGAUUAAAAAAAAAGCACUAUCCCACAGGGCAAUUUCAGAACAUUUCUGAAUCUUUAGGCUUCCACUGAGCCAAAAUCUUCCCAUUUGAAACUUCUAUCUAGUUCUGCCUUCUGGAACCAAGAGAAUCAAGUCUAAUCCUCUUCCCUUCAACUUCUUAAAUGCUUUUUAUCCUACCAAAUAACUAGAAAUGGGAAUAGCUUAUUCAAAAGAACACUGAGGGAGGAAAGGAGUGCAGAGACCUCCAGGGAAUUAACCAAAGCAAGACCUGAUAUUGGUCUGUUGAGCUCUACAAGAGUUUCAUUUUACUAGGGGUCUGCCUGAAGGCCCCCAUUUCUCAUGAGCAACACUAUUCCCUCCAUUCUAUGCCAGAAGCUCUAGGGUCAGAGAGGUGGAGACCAAGCUGAGUAAGGUGGCAAGAUAUUGUGGCACCAAGGAAUGUCUGCAUGAUUGUAAGUCCCAAAUGUACCCACCACAGCUUCUAACCCCUCCAAUUAGCUGGCAUAUUUUUGUCUAGUUGUCCCUGAUGUCAUAUCACUGUGCUCUGAAAUCCCACAGUAACAUGGCCCAUCAUAAACCCUGAGAGCACAAAGCCCUGGCAAGGCUACAGAGAUUCAUAGGAAGUAUUCACAGACCACAGCAAAGCAUUUCAAGAAGAGACACAGGUUCUUACAGCGAAUACACAAGGCAAGAAAAGAAAGUAUGGAAGUACAAAGAAAAUAUACAUACCCUGACCAAGGAUAUAGCGGAAUGUACAGGGGAUGUGCAAGUUCUGCAUAGAAUGCUUCUGAGAGUGAGGUAGAGCUCUAAUGAGGAACAGUCUCUUUACAACGUAUGUGGUGGUCCUUAUAAAGAAUGCACAGAGAAUGGGAAGGCCCUGAAAUAGACGCCUAUGCCCUUAAUGGAGAAUAAAGAGGACCCUUAAGCAAGAUACUCAAAUUCUGCUAAGAAUGUACUUAUACUUCCAGUGAAUGAAUAGCCCUCUCUAAAGAAUGCAAGAAAAGACAAGGCACUUAGAAAGGUUACACCAAUUCAUGAAGGAUUUCCAGGUUAUUUAAGAAAAUGCACAAGCCCAGUAAAAGAUGAAUAGGUGCAGUAUGGAAGAUUCAUGGGGGAUACUCAGGUUCUUUCAGAAGAUGAAUGAGCCUCUUACAAAAAUUAUAGAUUGUUUCAUAGGAUAUACGGGCAUGAGAGAAGGUUCACCUUUCUGGAGUUGUGAACUGAUUCAACCAUUCUGGAGAGCAAUUUAAAACUAUGCCCAAAAAGCUCUUAAACUGGGCAUACCCUAUGAUCCAGCAGUGUUUCUACUGGGCUUGUAUCCCAAAGAGAUCUUAAAGAAGGGAAAGGGACCCACAUUUAUAAAAAUGUUUGUGGCAGCUCUUUUUCUGAUCAAUUCUGAUGGAAUGAUGGAAAUAACUCUAAUGGAAAUAGUUCUUUUCAACAAUGAGAUGAUUAAGAUCAUUUCUAAUGAUCUUGUGAUGAAGGGUGUAGAUGACACUCUACACUAUGUCAUCUACACCCAGAGAGAGGACUGUGGGAACUUAAUGUGGAUCACAACAUAGAAUUUUCUCUUUUUGUUUGCUUGCAUUUUGUUUCUUUCUCAUUUAUUCCCUUUUGAUUUGAAUUUUUCUUGUGCAUCUAGAUAAUUGUGUGUGUGUGUAUAUAUGUAUAUAUAUAUAUAUUUAUAUAUACACAUAUUUUAGAUUUAACAUAUAUUUUAACAUAUUUAACAUAUAUUGGAUUACUUGCCAUCUAGGAGAGAGGAUAGAAAAUUUGGAACACAUGGUUCUGCAAAGGUCAGUGUUAAAAAAUUAUAUAUGCAUAAAUUUUGAAAAUAAAAAGUUUUAAUAAAAAAUAAUCAGAUUGCUUUCCUAUGCUGUUGAAUAAAGAAUAAUCAUCUGCCAUAAAUAUAUUUCUUUGCUGAUGGUAGUCACUGCUAAUCCUAUUUAGUACCAAAGCUUCACCUUCACCCAGCAGUUUUUUUGUAGUAUAACCUUCAGGUGAUGCAUCACUGUGUUUCCCGAACACUUUGACUCAUCUCUCAACCAAAACCUUACUGCACCCAGCCUUUUCAGCUCUCUUCCUCCCCUCUCCUUGUCCCAAGCCAUGAGAUUUUUUUUGGGGGGGGUGAUAAUCUUUGAUCUUAAAGAAAGGAAGGAGGCAAGUACUAUUCUUUGAUGUUAAGAGAGAACACCUGUGUCACACAGAACAAAUUACCAUACUAAGAAUCCAAACCCCACUGCAGAAUAACAACUGUACUCAAAUUGUGGAUGUGAACUCAAAUUCUGUUUAGUAGUCGCCAAGUCUGGUGGUAAUCAACUGCACAGUUCUCCAGCCUGUCCCUUUCUACUCACACCACACCUACUCUAAUUCAUAAAACCCUAACCACUUUUCUCCUAAUGGAUCACCUACCAUAUAGUCUUUAUUUUCUCCAGAGCAUAAUUUAAGGAGCUGCCAAAUUAUUAUUCCUAAACUUCUGACCAUUUCCCACUCCAGAAAUUUCAUGUGGUCCCUUUUUGAUUCAAGGAUAAAAUAUAAAUUUCUCUGUUUAAUGCUUAAAACUUCACAAUUUUUAUAAUAGCUUUCUAUUUUCAAAAUACAAAGAUAGUUUUCAACAUCCACCCUUGCCAAACUUUGUGUUCCAAUUUUUCUACCUUCUUUUCUCCUAUCUCCAUCCCUUAGACAACAAGUAAUCCAAUAUAUAUUAAAUAUGUGCAAUUUUCUAAACAUAUUUCCACAUUUAUUAUGUUGCACAAGAAAAAUCAGAUCAAAGGGAAAAACAGAAAGAAACAAAAAGCAACUAAACAACAACAAAAACACGAAAAUACUGUUUUGAUCCACAUUCAGUCCUUAUAAUAAGAUUCACUAAAUGUUCAUCCCUUACCUUCUUUCCUCAAAUGUAAUAGGUUUCCUUUGCCUCUUCCUGAGAUGUAAUUUCUCUCAUUUUACCUCCACUUUUCCCUUUUUCUGAUACAAUCACCUUUCCACCUCUAGUUACUUUUUAUAUUAUAAAAAUAAAAAUCAAAUUAUACAUACAUUCUCUUUGUAUACCCAUAACAAAAAUACAGUUCUCAAGAGUUGGGUUUUUUUUUUUACCUUUUGAUAUUUCUCUUAAGUACUAUAUUUGGAGGUCAAUUUUUUUUUUGUUUAGCUUUGGUCUUUUCAUCAGAAAUAAAUGGAAUUCUCCUAUUUCAUUAAAUGUCCAUAUUAUUCCCUGGAAGAAAAUGCUCAGUUUAGUGGAGUAUUUUAUUCUUGACUGCAUUCCAAGUUCCUUUGCCUUUCAGAAUAUCAGAUUCCAGGCCCUUCUAUCCUUUAAGCUGGAAACUGCUAGAUCCUAAGUGAUCCUUAUUGUUGCUCCUGUGUAUUUGAAUUGGUUUUUUUUCUGGCUGCUUGUAAUAUUUUUUCUUUGGUGUGAUAGUUCUGAAAUUUAGCCACGAUGUUCCUUAGAGCUUUAAUUUUGGGGUCUCUUUUAGGAGGUGUUUGGUGAAUUCUUUCAAUGACUAUUUUACCUUCUGAUUCAAUGUCUUCAGGACAGUUCUCUUUAAGGAGUUCCUGAAAAAAUAGGCUCAUUUUUUCAUCAUGGUUUUCAGGGAGUCCAAUAAUCCUUAGAUUGUAUUUCUCUAGAUCUAUUUUCCAGGUCAGUUGUUUUCCCAAGUAAGUAUUUUACUUUUUUCUAUUUUUUUCAUUUUUUUGCUUUUGCUUGACUGAUUCUUGAUGUCUCAUCAAGUCAUUCAUUUCCAUUUGUUCAGUUCUGAUUUUUUGUGAAUUAUUUUCUACAUUUACUUUUUUGUAUUUGUUCAAUUGAGGUUUUAAAUGUGUUGUUUUGUUCUAUGGAUUUUUUUUUCCAUUUCACAAAUUCUGUUUUUAAGGAAUUAUUUUCCUUUUCCAUUUCACAAAUUCGGUUUUUCAGGGAGUUGUUUUCUUUUUUCCUUCAUCAAAUCUAUUUUUUAAUGAGUUAUAUACCUUUUCCAAACCCUCUUUCAAAGUUUUCCUUUUCUUUUCCCAUGUUACUUCUAGCUCUCUUUUGGGAUCCUUUUAAAUUUCUUUUAGGAGAGCCUCGUGUGAUGGGGACCAAGUUAUAUCACCUUUUGGAGCUUCAUCUAUAGACAAUCUGCUUUUAGUCUCGUCAGGGUUUAAAAUCUGUUCUUCUCUUUCACCACAGAAACCAUCUGUAGUUAGAGUCCUCUUUGCCUUUUUACUCAUUUUUUUUAAAAUUGGGAUCUGCUUUUAGGGCAAGGGAAGUUUACCAAGCUUACUCUACAGGGUGCAGUGAAGCCACUGAGGAGUGGCUGCAGCUACACUGGAUCAGUGCUGACUCAUUUGUGGUGCUGAGUGAGAGUAGUCAAGUCCCAUGAGACUCUGGUCCUUCAGGGUUCACUAUUUGCUUUGUGUAUUUAUGUUGGAUGUAUUAUAACUUCUCUACUGAUCUACUGGCUUGCAACCAGGGCAGAGUAGACAACACCAUGGUAGAGUCCUCCCCAUAGAUUCUCUACCACACAGAGUCUAUGCCUUUUCCAAGCCCUCUUGCAAAGUUUUCCUUUUCUUUUCCCAUGUUUCUUCUAGCUCUCUUUUGAGAUCCUUUUAAAUUUCUUUUAGGAGAGCCUUGUGCGAUGGGGACCAGGUUAUAUCACCUUUUGGAGCCCCACAGAGACCAAACCCUGUGUACUGACAUCCUGUGCCUGGCCACCUUUCUACACCUAACCAAAACAGACCUUUUCUGGCAAUCUUCAAAAUUAUCUUCUGCUGGUAAUUUGCUUCACUCCCAAUAUUCAUGAAUUCUGUAAUCUAGAACUAAUUCAGAGGCUGAAUUUGGUAAUUAGUUGAGGGUCCUGGGAGGAAAUCAGAAAGAAGCAUGUGUCCUCUCCUCUAUCUUGGCUCUACCCCAAAAAAAUCUGUUUUUUAAGGAGUUAAUUUCUUUUUCCAUUACACAAAUUUUAUUUUUUAAGGAGUUAUUUUUUUUCCAUUUCACAAAUUCUGUUUUUCAGAGGGUUAUUUUCUUUUUCCAUUUCACAAAUUCUGUUUUUCAGGGAGUUGUUUUCUUUUUCCAUCUUGUCAACUCUAUUUUUUAAAGAGUUAUAUGUUUCCAUUUCAUUGUCUAUUUUGUAAUGAAUUUUCUUCAGAUAAUUUCUGUUUUUUCUUUUCCAAACCCUUUAGUAAAGUUCUCAUUCUCUUUUCCCAUUUUUCUUCCAGCUCUCCUUUAAGAUCUUUUAUAAUUUCUUUUAGGAGAGCCUUAUGUGAUGGGUACCAAUUUAUAUCAUCCUUUGGGGCUUCAUCUCAAGACGAUCUGCAUUUAGUCUCCUCAGGUUUUGAAAUCUGUUCUUCUCUUUCACCAUAAAAACUACCUGUGGACAAAAUUCUUUUACUUUUUUACUCAUUUUUUUUAAAGUGGAGAUCUGCUUGUAGGGCAAGGGAGUUUGUCCAAGCUUUCUCUAUAAGCAGCAGCGGCUUCUUCUACAAGCAACAGCAGCUGUCUUUACAAACAGAAGUGACUGUGCUGACUGACUUCAGGUGAUGGGUGGGCAUGACCAGGUCUGGUGGAAUUGUGGUGCUUUGGAGCUCUCUGUUUACCUUUUGUGUUUGUGUUGGAUGUUUUAUAACUUCUCUGCUGAUUUACCAGAUUGUAUCCAGGGCAGAAUGGCCAACACUACUAUAGAUUCCUCCUGUUAGAUUCUGCAGCCCAAGGACCCCUCACUACCCCGGAUCUGUGCUGCCUGCAUUCAGAAUCUGUGGUUGCUUUGCUUGAACUUGACUCACCUCCCUCUGUGUCUGAUUGAAACCCUCUUUUCUGGAGAGCUACAAAAUUAUCUUCUGCUGGUAAUUUGUUAAACUCCCAAUAUUUGUGGAUUCUGCCAGUCCAGAACUAAUUCAGAGUCUGGAUUUGCUAAUUAAUCUGAGUGUCAUGGGAGAAGAUCAGAAAGAAACAUAUGUCCUUUCCACCAUCUUGGCUCCACCCUUGGGGAAUCAAUGUUUUAAAAAGAUCAUUAAAACAUUAAACAUUAAAAUAAUACACAAAAAAAA